rnacentral:lncRNA from 10 species
GAACUCUGGGAUCAGUUUGACAACUUAGAAAAUCGAUAGUCUUGAGAAAUUCAUCAUAUCUGCCAAGGAAAGGACUGAGAUUGAACUCAGCUAUACAAAACAACUCAGGAAUCUUUUAAAGACAUGCCAACCUAAAAGGAACUGGAAGGAGAAAGAAUACAUUACGUAAAACUCUCCUUCCCUCCCUGUGAACAAAAUGAGUGAUCACGCUAGGCAGCAUUAAGUUAUCUUCUUUGAGGUCUUGAACUUUCAGAUCACCGUGGAGUUACAAGGGCAUGUUCAAAACCAAAAGCAGGAGAGGAAAUCUCACUUUCAUGAUGCCCAGAAGGCACAACCACCGACAGAGACUUGAUGGAAGCAACUUGAGGCAAGUAAAAGACAAUUGAGAUUAUAAAAAGGCUGCUGAGCACAUCAGUAUUUUGAGAAAAUGCCAUAUGUUUUAAAAACACGUUUUUAAAAGUCGAUGUUGAAAAAGGCACACCACCAAGCUGCGAAAACAUCACCAAUGGCAGAAGACGGCAGACUACUCAAUGAGAAUUGAAUUACUCAUCAAUUCAAGAAAUUUGACACUGAGCUGCAGGAAUUUUACCAUCCUAAUAGUUCCAACAACUUCCAGAAAAUACAAGAGAUAGAGGGAAAGAGGAUAGUGAGAAUGAGAGAAUCAGUGAAGACAUAUGUAGCGAUUGGGCAACAGGUGAUAGCAAUCAAUAGGAGAUGCUUGGAGAGAAUAGUAAAGGCAACUGAAUCAAUGAUCAGAAAAAUGUCACAGCUGGUAAUAAAAACUUUCAAGUCAGAGUGUGAGCCUCCUGGAGACAUCUGAGGACUACACUCUGCCAAUAAGGUGCUUGAUAAUAGUCUUUCAGAUUUCUGAGGAGAAGGCAAACCAGGGUCAGCUGUGGUGGCAAAUUGAAAGGAAACUUCUGGCUGUUCAUAAAAAUGUAUAAAUAAAGCUCCAAAGCAGCAAAAGGAACUGAUUGGUUUAAUGAGCUCGUUAUCAAACCCAAUAUUGGCUGCUUCAAAAGUCUAUAAUGUAGGCUGGGCACAGUGGUUCACACCAGUAAUCAUCCCAGCAUAUUGGGAGUCUGAGGCAGGUGGAUCAGUCGAGGUCAGGAGUUUCAGACCAGCCUGGACAACAUGGUGAAACCCCAUCUCUACCAAAAAUACAAAAAUUAACCAGAUGUGGUGGUGCACACCUGUAAUCCCAGCUACUUGGGAGGCUGAGAUGGGAGAAUCGCUUGGACCUGGGAGGUGGAGGUUGCAGUAAGCUGAGAUCAUGCCACUGCACUCCAACCUGGGUGACAGAGUGAGACUCCAUCUCAAAGAAAAAAGUCUGUAGUGUAAGGGGUGUAACCCCAGAGGAUGUUGGCAGUCUUCCACCUCAACUGAAAAGGAAAAAACUACAAGAGAAAGUCAAUGAAAUAAAUACAGAUGGAGAUGGAUCAAAGAAAUGGCAUAACAAAAAUGAAAAACAUGUACAAAAGAAAUCUUCAAAUGGGAGAUACAGCCAGUUUGAGUCACAAAUUAACAAAAUUCAGACAAAAAUAUAGAAAAACAAGAGGCCCAGAAAUUUGAAGUCUAGCUGCCUGAGGUUGAAGGCAGGCUCACACAAUCAAGUGAACAGGCCUGACAACAGAGUGGAAUGUACAAAAACCCAAUCCAAAAUCCCAGAGAGGUUUGCACAAGACUGGAAGGACUCAGAAGGCAGUUACAUAGAGGAGCCAGUCAAGAAAGUGGGGUGAGGAGUUCUGGUUGUGGAUUUUGAUAGUGAAAUGAUAAUGAAUUUGAUAAGGAACUGCUUCCUGCCUUAGGGACUUGGAAAACCCUCUACAUGUUUGAAGUUCAGAAUGAAGGAAUCAUUUCAAUAGUUGAAGCAAAAAUAUUGUAUAUUAUAGAGGAAAAUGAAGGUGCUGCGUGAAUCUGCUUUUGGAAAAAUGAAGAUGAAAAGAGUUAAGUCCCUACUUUGUCAACAUUGAUUUGGACUAAAAUGCCAAAGG